rnacentral:rRNA from 1 species
GGCACCACCGGCGGACGGGUCAUUAACACGUCGGUAACCUACCCUCAGGAGGGGGAUAACCCCGGGAAACUGGGGCUUAUUCCCCCUAGGCCUGAGGUACUGGAAGGUCCUCAGGCCGAAAGGGACUUAUGUCCCCCCGAGGAUGGGCCGGCGGCCGAUUAGGUAGUUGGUGGGGUAAUGGCCCACCAAGCCGAAGAUCGGUACGGGCUGUGAGAGCAGGAGCCCGGAGAUGGACACUGAGACACGGGUCCAGGCCCUACGGGGCGCAGCAGGCGCGAAACCUCCGCAAUGCGGGAAACCGCGACGGGGGGACCCCGAGUGCCGUGGCAACGCCACGGCUUUUCCGGAGUGUAAAAAGCUCCGGGAAUAAGGGCUGGGCAAGGCCGGUGGCAGCCGCCGCGGUAAUACCGGCGGCCCGAGUGGUGGCCGCUAUUAUUGGGCCUAAAGCGUCCGUAGCCGGGCCCGUAAGUCCCUGGCGAAAUCCCACGGCUCAACCGUGGGGCUUGCUGGGGAUACUGCGGGUCUUGGGACCGGGAGAGGCGGGGGGUACCCCUGGGGUAGGGGUGAAAUCCUAUAAUCCCAGGGGGACCGCCAGUGGCGAAGGCGCCCCGCUGGAACGGGUCCGACGGUGAGGGACGAAGGCCAGGGGAGCAAACCGGAUUACAUACCCCGGGUAGUCCUGGGCUGUAAAGGAUGCGGGCUAGUGUCGGGUGAGCCUCCAGCUCGCCCGGUGCCGUAAGGGAAGCCGUUAAGCCC